AUGAAGAUGGCGACUUGCAUUCGUAAGGUGGCCUCGGAGGAGUUUGGAGUGUCCAGGGGAAGGAGAAGCGAAGAUAAGUAUACCUGGUGGUGGAAUGAUGAUGUCCAGAAGGCGAUUAAAGAGAAGAAAGAUUGCUUCAGAUGCCUAUACCUGGAUAGGAGUGCAGACAACAUAGAGAAGUACAAGAUGGCGAAGAAGGCCGCAAAGCGAGCUGUUGGUGAAGCAAGGGGUCGGGCAUAUGAGGACCUCUACCAACGGUUAGGCACGAAGGAAGGUGAAAGGGACAUCUAUAAGAUGGCCAAGAUCUGA
rnacentral:rRNA from 1 species